GUUUCCGUAGGUGAACCUGCUGCUGGAUCAUUACGCAACGAGUUUUUCAAACUCCCAUUUCGACAAGCUGUCUCUUAAUCGAUUGAUUUUUGGUUGUGGAUGGCCGGUGUUUCCUUGGGAUGGCAAGGAAUUGCACUGAACGGCUAACGCUGGUGUCUAUGCGUCGCUGAGCAGUCGUCUUCGUCCGUGGCUGUGAUGAGGUGGUGCGGUAGUGCCUGAGGCACUGUGCGAAGUGUCCGGUUUAAGACUUAAUGAGCCCAUCGAAACGGGACGCCAGCACCCAUUGUUUUUUCAAUACAUUUUUUUAAAACGAAACGCAAAGAAUUCUAGCCUUAUCGGUGGAUCACUCGGCUCGUAGUUCGAUGAAGAACGCAGCCAACAGCGAUAUUUAGUGUGAACUGCAGAAACUUUGAACACAAAACCUUCGAAUGUACAUGACGCCUGAGGUGUUAAAUCCUCUGGCACGGCUGGUUCAGGGUCGUUAUCUAAACAAGCACUGCCUGUUGUGUUUGCCUUCCAGGCAUAUUCAAAUUGUAUCUGCCCAGAAUGGAAAGGAGCGAUUUGCCUCGGGGCACAAGUCGGAGUCUACGUGAAAGGAGGCAACGGCCGAAUGCCUCGGGCACUUAGACCCUCAUGAGAAAAAUCAUUUCGACCUGAACUCAGGCGUGAGUACCCGCUGAACUUAAGCAUAU
rnacentral:sRNA from 1 species